AGAGUUUGAUCCUGGCUCAGAACGAACGCUGGCGGCAGGCCUAACACAUGCAAGUCGAACGCUCCGCAAGGGGAGUGGCAGACGGGUGAGUAACACGUGGGAAUCUUCCUAUUGGUAUGGAAUAGCUCAGGGAAACUUGGGGUAAUACCGUAUAAGCCCGAGAGGGGAAAGAUUUAUCGCCAAUAGAUGAGCCCGCGUCUGAUUAGCUAGUUGGUGAGGUAAUGGCUCACCAAGGCGACGAUCAGUAGCUGGUCUGAGAGGAUGAUCAGCCACACUGGGACUGAGACACGGCCCAGACUCCUACGGGAGGCAGCAGUGGGGAAUAUUGGACAAUGGGCGCAAGCCUGAUCCAGCCAUGCCGCGUGAGUGACGAAGGUCUUCGGAUUGUAAAGCUCUUUUGGCGGGGACGAUAAUGACGGUACCCGCAGAAUAAGCCCCGGCUAACUUCGUGCCAGCAGCCGCGGUAAUACGAAGGGGGCUAGCGUUGUUCGGAAUCACUGGGCGUAAAGCGCACGUAGGCGGAUUUGUUAGUCAGGGGUGAAAUCCCGGGGCUCAACCUCGGAACUGCCUCUGAUACUGCAGAUCUCGAGUCCGAUAGAGGUGAGUGGAAUUCCUAGUGUAGAGGUGAAAUUCGUAGAUAUUAGGAAGAACACCAGCGGCGAAGGCGGGUCUCUGGGCAGUAACUGACGCUGAGGAGCGAAAGCGUGGGGAGCGAACAGGAUUAGAUACCCUGGUAGUCC
rnacentral:rRNA from 1 species